rnacentral:misc_RNA from 1 species
GAUGAAGAACUUAGCGAAAUGCGAUACGUAAUGUGAAUUGCAGAAUUCAGUGAAUCAUCGAGUCUUUGAACGCACAUUGCGCCCCCUGGUAUUCCGGGGGGCAUGCCUGUCCGAGCGUCAUUGCUGCCCUCAAGCACGGCUUGUGUGUUGGGCCUCCGCCCUCCUCCCGGGGGACGGGCCCGAAAGGCAGCGGCGGCACCGCGUCCGGUCCUCGAGCGUAUGGGGCUUCGUCACCCGCUCUUGUAGGCCCGGCCGGCGCUUGCCGACACAUCAAUCUUUUUUCCAGGUUGACCUCGGAUCAGGUAGGGAUACCCGCUGAACUUAAGCAUAUCAAUAAGCGGAGGA